rnacentral:lncRNA from 1 species
AUGCUGGCUGUGGAUGAUGGGAGCUGUCAUGCUGCCUGUCUGGAGGGAGAUCACCCUGCUGUUCUCCAAAAACUGAGACCUCAAGCAGCUGAAGCAGCAGUCAGCCCCUUCACGAGUGUUGCUGUCCGCAGGAAGCCAGGACAGAGUGUGGAAACAGAUGGGAUGCAUUAAAUGAAAAAGAGAGAGAGACAGACAGAGGAAGAGCCAGCGUAUUUAAAUAGAACAGACUGGCUGGCUGGCGACUGAUGACUGAUGAACAGAAAAAGUUUGUUAAUUGACUGAAGGGGGGGCGGGGGAAGGCCUAUGGCG